AUGUGGAGACUGGGGAGCAGCAGAGUCAACUCAGUUAUCAUCUUGGCGGCCGGGCUGCCGUCCAGCUCACAGAAGCCACCUGAUCCGGAAAAGAUUUCCAACGCCUGCUGGAGCUGUUUCCAUACAGGCAGAGGCCAGUGUCAUCUCCAGCACCUGGGGGACAUAAGAGAAAGAGCCAGUGGCCUUCCUCCAAGACAAUCUCAGUGUCUUCCCACUCACAGAACCAGGCAACAAAGAAGUCUGUGGCGUCCACAGGAGGGAAACAAAGCAAAACGAAGCGCCGACCAGUGCGCCUCUCAGUUACUCCAGCACGGUAGUUAGAGAUGAAUACAAUGUUGCCCUUAAGCUACAACCUAAUCUUCACAGAAACCCUUUGAAGAAGGUAAGUUUAGUUUUACUUUAAGACUGG
rnacentral:lncRNA from 1 species